GAAAUGCGAUAAGUAAUGUGAAUUGCAGAAUUCAGUGAAUCAUCGAAUCUUUGGACGCACAUUGCGCCCGCCAGCACUCUGGCGGGCAUGCCUGUUCGAGCGUCAUUUCAACCCUCAGAACCCCUUGCGGGAUCUGGCGUUGGGGAUUGGCAUCCAGCCAGCCCCGAAAUCUAGUGGCGGUCCCUCCGCGACCUCCCCUGUGCAGUAGCGAUACCUCGCAGCGGGACAGCGGUCUGACCACGCCGUAAAACCCCCAACUUCUCAAGGUUGACCUCGAAUCAGGUAGGAAUACCCGCUGAACUUAAGC
rnacentral:misc_RNA from 1 species